UGUGGGAGCGGGCUUGCUCGCGAAAGCGGAGUGUCAGGCAACCUAUUUGGCGACUGAUGCACCGCUAUCGCGAGCAAGCCCGCUCCCACA
rnacentral:antisense_RNA from 1 species